CGACUUAUAUUCUGUAGCAAGGUUAACCGAAUAGGGGAGCCGAAGGGAAACCGAGUCUUAACUGGGCGUUAAGUUGCAGGGUAUAGACCCGAAACCCGGUGAUCUAGCCAUGGGCAGGUUGAAGGUUGGGUAACACUAACUGGAGGACCGAACCGACUAAUGUUGAAAAAUUAGCGGAUGACUUGUGGCUGGGGGUGAAAGGCCAAUCAAACCGGGAGAUAGCUGGUUCUCCCCGAAAGCUAUUUAGGUAGCGCCUCGUGAAUUCAUCUCCGGGGGUAGAGCACUGUUUCGGCAAGGGGGUCAUCCCGACUUACCAACCCGAUGCAAACUGCGAAUACCGGAGAAUGUUAUCACGGGAGACACACGGCGGGUGCUAACGUCCGUCGUGAAGAGGGAAACAACCCAGACCGCCAGCUAAGGUCCCAAAGUCAUGGUUAAGUGGGAAACGAUGUGGGAAGGCCCAGACAGCCAGGAUGUUGGCUUAGAAGCAGCCAUCAUUUAAAGAAAGCGUAAUAGCUCACUGGUCGAGUCGGCCUGCGCGGAAGAUGUAACGGGGCUAAACCAUGCACCGAAGCUGCGGCAGCGACGCUUAUGCGUUGUUGGGUAGGGGAGCGUUCUGUAAGCCUGUGAAGGUGUGCUGUGAGGCAUGCUGGAGGUAUCAGAAGUGCGAAUGCUGACAUAAGUAACGAUAAAGCGGGUGAAAAGCCCGCUCGCCGGAAGACCAAGGGUUCCUGUCCAACGUUAAUCGGGGCAGGGUGAGUCGACCCCUAAGGCGAGGCCGAAAGGCGUAGUCGAUGGGAAACAGGUUAAUAUUCCUGUACUUGGUGUUACUGCGAAGGGGGGACGGAGAAGGCUAUGUUGGCCGGGCGACGGUUGUCCCGGUUUAAGCGUGUAGGCUGGUUUUCCAGGCAAAUCCGGAAAAUCAAGGCUGAGGCGUGAUGACGAGGCACUACGGUGCUGAAGCAACAAAUGCCCUGCUUCCAGGAAAAGCCUCUAAGCAUCAGGUAACAUCAAAUCGUACCCCAAACCGACACAGGUGGUCAGGUAGAGAAUACCAAGGCGCUUGAGAGAACUCGGGUGAAGGAACUAGGCAAAAUGGUGCCGUAACUUCGGGAGAAGGCACGCUGAUAUGUAGGUGAAGCGACUUGCUCGUGGAGCUGAAAUCAGUCGAAGAUACCAGCUGGCUGCAACUGUUUAUUAAAAACACAGCACUGUGCAAACACGAAAGUGGACGUAUACGGUGUGACGCCUGCCCGGUGCCGGAAGGUUAAUUGAUGGGGUCAGCGCAAGCGAAGCUCUUGAUCGAAGCCCCGGUAAACGGCGGCCGUAACUAUAACGGUCCUAAGGUAGCGAAAUUCCUUGUCGGGUAAGUUCCGACCUGCACGAAUGGCGUAAUGAUGGCCAGGCUGUCUCCACCCGAGACUCAGUGAAAUUGAACUCGCUGUGAAGAUGCAGUGUACCCGCGGCAAGACGGAAAGACCCCGUGAACCUUUACUAUAGCUUGACACUGAACAUUGAGCCUUGAUGUGUAGGAUAGGUGGGAGGCUUAGAAGUGUGGACGCCAGUCUGCAUGGAGCCGACCUUGAAAUACCACCCUUUAAUGUUUGAUGUUCUAACGUUGACCCGUAAUCCGGGUUGCGGACAGUGUCUGGUGGGUAGUUUGACUGGGGCGGUCUCCUCCUAAAGAGUAACGGAGGAGCACGAAGGUUGGCUAAUCCUGGUCGGACAUCAGGAGGUUAGUGCAAUGGCAUAAGCCAGCUUGACUGCGAGCGUGACGGCGCGAGCAGGUGCGAAAGCAGGUCAUAGUGAUCCGGUGGUUCUGAAUGGAAGGGCCAUCGCUCAACGGAUAAAAGGUACUCCGGGGAUAACAGGCUGAUACCGCCCAAGAGUUCAUAUCGACGGCGGUGUUUGGCACCUCGAUGUCGGCUCAUCACAUCCUGGGGCUGAAGUAGGUCCCAAGGGUAUGGCUGUUCGCCAUUUAAAGUGGUACGCGAGCUGGGUUUAGAACGUCGUGAGACAGUUCGGUCCCUAUCUGCCGUGGGCGCUGGAGAACUGAGGGGGGCUGCUCCUAGUACGAGAGGACCGGAGUGGACGCAUCACUGGUGUUCGGGUUGUCAUGCCAAUGGCACUGCCCGGUAGCUAAAUGCGGAAGAGAUAAGUGCUGAAAGCAUCUAAGCACGAAACUUGCCCCGAGAUGAGUUCUCCCUGACUCCUUGAGAGUCCUGAAGGAACGUUGAAGACGACGACGUUGAUAGGCCGGGUGUGUAAGCGCAGCGAUGCGUUGAGCUAACCGGUACUAAUGAACCGUGAGG
rnacentral:rRNA from 1 species